rnacentral:lncRNA from 1 species
CCCCUGCCGUGGCUCUCUCCGGCUCCCGUUCCGGAGGCUGGAUCCGGCCACGCAGGCUGAAUAAGGCUCUGCCUUUGUCCAGCUCCCCCCGCCGCGCUUCCCCUUAUCUAGCCCAGCCGCCUUGCCAAGACCACGAGGCAGCGGGGAGGACGCGGCGAGCAGGGAGAGGCUGUGCCGGCGCCUCCCGGGGCCGUUAACUCUUCUCCUGCCCCGUGCACGCUCACCCGGCCCUGUGCACGAAGCCCCCGGGGGACCACCGGCCCCUUGCCGAGCGCAGCCGGCCCCUCUCCACCCCCGCGUGCUCCCCAAACGCAGAGCAUCCCCCCAGCUCCGCGCCGAGACACCUGGCCGUGCACACCCCGCCUGGUUCCCGGGGACACCGAGCAUCCCCGGGAGCUGCUGUGGGGCUCGGGGUGGGCACGGGGCCCCUCGCCCCGCAGUCCGUCAGGCGUCCUCGGGGGCAGAGCGGAGCCCGGCUAUCUGUCUGCAGCGCUCCGCGCGCAGCAAUUAACCUCGAGAGAGCAGCCGCGGCUCCUGCCAAGAACCACAUUAGGUGUGUGUGGCAGUGUCUAGACAUGCAAGAGACCAGAGGCCUUGAUCUGUAGGAAGGCGGCUCAGUCCCUUCCCCCCCCACCCCCAGCCAGGCGCCCCCUGGCCCCCCUCCCGGCCUUGGCACGGGGUUGAGCCGGCCCCGGCCAGCCCUGGGGCUGCUUUUCCCAGCCGGGACCACCGAGCGCCGGGCACGGGGAUGUGUGGGGUGAGGCUGAGCCCAGCCCCGCAUCCCUCGGCACGGGCACGGCUCGCAGCAAAGAGCCCCAUGCUGCCUUCGAAAGCAUCGCCCUGACCCUUGGCACGGCACCGCGCUGGGUCCCCGUGGUGCCGGACCCCUCGCACGGGCUGCGGGUCCCCAGAGCUGUCGGGAGGAGGAGGAAGGUGGCUGCAAGCUGCACCCAGCCCAUCUCCCCGCCGGGAGACGCAACAACCAUCCCAACCAUCCCAACCAUCCCGGGGGAGCCGGCAGCAACCCCCCCGGUGCCAGGCGAGCCGUGGAGCCGAGGACGGAGCUGGGCAGGGACCCAGCUCGACGCCUCCCAGCGCCCGUACCCGAUGCACUCGGCCACGCUGCCCGUCCCGACGCUGCCAUCCCGCCGGGCGUGUGCAGAGGAGCAGCGGCAGGGAAACGCCGGCGAGCGAAAAAGCUCCGGAAGGAAACGGAGAAAGCGAGAAGAAGCCGGCAGGUGGGGAGCAGGAGGGGCCGGGGCCGCCUCCACACCCGCCUCCGAACCCCGCCGUGCCGCCCGCACCCCGAGAGUCCCACCCGGGGAAACUGAGGCACGGGGCGGGCGCGCCCCUCGCACCCCGCAGCC